rnacentral:rRNA from 1 species
UACGUAGGGUGCAAGCGUUGUCCGGAAUUAUUGGGCGUAAAGAGCUCGUAGGCGGUUUGUUGCGUCGGCUGUGGCAAUCCCCGAGGCUCAACCUCGGGUCUGCAGUCGAUACGAGCAAACUAGAGUGUUGCAGGGGAGACUGGAAUUCCUGGUGUAGCGGUCGAAAUGCGCAGAGUAUCAGGAGGAACACCGGUGGCGAAGGCGGGUCUCUGGGCAACAACUGACGCUGGAGGAGCGAAAGCGUGGGGAGCGAACAGG